rnacentral:rRNA from 1 species
UGGGGAAUAUUGGACAAUGGGCGAAAGCCUGAUCCAGCCAUGCCGCGUGAGUGAUGAAGGCCUUAGGGUUGUAAAACUCUUUCGCCGGGGAAGAUAAUGACGGUACCCGGAGAAGAAGCUCCGGCUAACUUCGUGCCAGCAGCCGCGGUAAUACGAAGGGAGCUAGCGUUGUUCGGAAUUACUGGGCGUAAAGCGCACGUAGGCGGGCUAUUAAGUCAGGGGUGAAAUCCCGAGGCUCAACCUCGGAACUGCCUUUGAUACUGAUAGUCUUGAGAUCGGGAGAGGGUAGAGGAAUUUCCGGUGUAGCGGUGAAAUGCGUAGAUAUCGGAAGGAACAUCGGUGGCGAAGGCGUCUACCUGGCCUAAUACUGACACUGAGGUGCGAAAGCGUGGGGAGCAAACAGGAUUAGAUACCCGUGUAGUCCCUGAGCGGGCUGGCAAGGCGCAU